CUCUCUCUCUCUCUCUGUGCUUCCCAAUAAAUUUCUUUUCGUUUUCUCUUUUAUUUUUCUCCUGUCGGUAAAGUAAGAAGAAGACGCUCAAUGUUUCAGCUGCUUGUGCUACACCCCAUGUCCGACUGGAAAGACUUUCGCUACUUUCUUAGACUUAGAUUUACGAGGUGUUAAUUUCAUGUGAUUUUCAUAUUAUAAACUCUUGCUGCCUUGCAUUUGAGUUUUUUUAAUUUUUUUUUUCAAAGAUCGGGAUGAAAUGUAAACCAUAAAGGACUAUCAUUCAGAAAAAUUUCAAAGGAACUUUGGGAUGGAUUCCACUUUCAUCAGUGAAGCCAUAGCCGACUGCAUCGUGUUCAUAAAGAAGAUUGCCGACAAGGAGAACAACUCUUCUGCAAAGUUGCACUUUUCAUUUUUUGUUUUUUGGGAUGUUUUCUUGCGAUUGGGAAUCUGAGCUUGAUAAUUUGAUAUUGUAAACAGAUCUAAGAUAUAGAUGAUAGAAAUAUUUUGUAAAU